GGCCUUUUGAAUUUAAUUGAAGGUCUGACCUGCCCAGUGAUGAAUUUAACGGCCGCGGUAUACUGACCGUGCAAAGGUAGCAUAAUCAUUAGUCUUUUAAUAGAGGGCUGGAAUGAAAGGUUUAACGAGGAACUGACUGUCUCAUUUUAUUUGUUUUAAAAUUUAAUUUUUUAGUUAAAAAGCUAAAAUUUUAUUGGAAGACGAGAAGACCCUAUAGAUCUUUACAUAUUUUUAAUUAAAUAUUUUUAUAUUAAUAUUUUUAUUUAAUAUUAUGUUUUGUUGGGGUGACAAAAAUAUAAAUAUAACUUUUUUAUUUAUUUAACAUUGAUAUAUGAUUAUUAGAUCCAUUCUUAUUGAUUAUUAGAACAAGUUACCUUAGGGAUAACAGCGUAAUCCUCCUCCAGAGUUCAUAUUUACAGGAAGGGCUUGCGACCUCGAUGUUGGAUUAAGAUAAUAAUUAGGUGUAGCCGCUUAAUUUAUAGGUCUGUUCGACCUUUAAAUUCUUACGUGAUCUGAGUUCA
rnacentral:rRNA from 1 species